rnacentral:rRNA from 1 species
GAUGAAUGCUAGCGGCAGGCCUAAUACAUGCAAGUCGAACGGUGUCUUCGGACAUAGUGGCGCACGGGUGCGUAACACGUAUGCAACCUACCUUACAUUGGGGGAUAGCCUUUCGAAAGGGAGAUUAAUACCGCAUAAGACAGUAGCUGGGCAUCCAGCAGCUGUUAAAGAUUUAUCGAUGUAAGCUGGGCAUGCGUCCAAUUAGCUAGUUGGUGAGGUAACGGCUCACCAAGGCAAUGAUUGGUAGGGGAACUGAGAGGUCAAUCCCCCACACUGGCACUGAGAUACGGGCCAGACUCCUACGGGAGGCAGCAGUAGGGAAUAUUGGGCAAUGGACGCAAGUCUGACCCAGCCAUGCCGCGUGCAGGAUGAAGGCGUUAUGCGUUGUAAACUGCUUUUAUACAGGAAGAAACGACUCAUGCGAGAGGCAUUGACGGUACUGUAUGAAUAAGCACCGGCUAACUCCGUGCCAGCCGCCGCAGUAAGAC